rnacentral:rRNA from 1 species
GUGUCAGCCGCCGCGGUAAAACGUAGGGGACGAGCGUUAUCCGGAUUUACUGGGCGUAAAGCGCAUGUAGGUGGCUUGAAAAGUUGGACGUGAAAGCUCCUGGCUUAACUGGGAGAGGUCGUACAAAACUAGCAAGCUUGAGGUUGGAAGAGGAGAGCAGAAUUCCCGGUGUAGUGGUGGAAUGCGUAGAUAUCGGGAGGAAUACCAGUGGCGAAAGCGGCUCUCUGGUUCAAUACUGACACUGAGAUGCGAAAGCGUGGGGAGCGAACGGGAUUAGAUACCCGCGUAGUCC